rnacentral:rRNA from 1 species
GUGAGGAAUAUUGGUCAAUGGGCGAGAGCCUGAACCAGCCAAGUCGCGUGAAGGAAGAAGGAUCUAUGGUUCGUAAACUUCUUUUGCAGGGGAAUAAAGUGCGGGACGUGUCCUGUUUUGUAUGUACCCUGAGAAUAAGGAUCGGCUAACUCCGUGCCAGCAGCCGCGGUAAUACGGAGGAUCCGAGCGUUAUCCGGAUUUAUUGGGUUUAAAGGGUGCGUAGGUGGUUUGAUAAGUCAGCGGUGAAAGUUUGCAGCUUAACUGUAAAAAUGCCGUUGAAACUGUCGGAGUUGAGUGUAAAUGAGGUAGGCGGAAUGCGUGGUGUAGCGGUGAAAUGCAUAGAUAUCACGCAGAACUCCGAUUGCGAAGGCAGCUUACUAAGCUACAACUGACACUGAAGCACGAAAGCGUGGGGAUCAAACAGGAUUAGAAACCCCGGUAGUCC